AUACACGAUAGCGCGAUGACGAGGGCAAUGCUCAAAUGUGUGAAGUAUUAAGAAAGUGGUAUCUAAAAGCAUAAACAAACAAAAAUACUUGGGGACAUUUGUGGCAUUUAGAGUGAAUUAUUAAACUGUUCAAUACCUGAUCAUAAAAAGUCCAUCUGCAUAUUCUCUCAAAUUACGAUUGAAGAGAAUCGAAACUCAAAUAUUUAGACAAUGUCCAUGCAAUAAAGAGUAUCUGGGUUUUUUUUUUUACAUAAUAUCUAUACAUGUUUGGCUUUGUAAGAAACCUAGCUUAGAUUGGAUCAAAAAUGUUAUACUGGUUCUAUCAAAUCUGUUUGAAUACUACUCUAUGAGGAAUGUACUUUCUGGCAUGCCAUACAUAAAACGGUUUCAUUGUCCCUUUGCUGCCCCUGGAAGCUCUCCCAAUAUCUGUUUAUUUAUACAGUGUGAUAAAGUGAAGGCAGAUAGGCCUUUUAACCCCAGGGGAAGUACGUGUAGUUUGUGUGUUGCACAACACAAAGCUUUGUUUAGUUAUGGGCACCUGGGGUGGAGCAUUUGGAGAGAAGGGUGGACCAAUGCUCCACUCCACAGUUUAGUGGUUUUCUGGGGAGACUUAGAUCCAGGCCAGGGUUUUUUGGACCGUCUCCAACCCACUGCUCAGCUGCAGGUAAUCAGCUGUUGCAGUGGGAAUAAACUCCUCCCUGCUAGGCAGGAAAAGGGGAGGGAUUGCUGGCUUCCUCCCAGGAAGCAGGUAGGAGAGAGGCUGUUCUCUCCUGAUAGAGAGUCAAGGAGACUAGGCACUGGGAGUGCCGGAGGAAGCAGUCAAGGCUGGCUUGGAGCACUGGGAGUGCAGAAAGGAAAGCAGUCAGUGCAAGGCUGGCUUGGAGCACUGGAGAAAGAAAAGCAACAGGCUAGCUAGCAGAGUGUUGCUGUCUAAUAAGGUUGGUGCAGUAUGUUUUGUUAGUUUAACCCUGAUAGAGAGGGUUAUUCAAAGUGAGUCAGUGCUCAGACGAGCUAGGUUUUUGUUUAAAGGGAAACCUGUUAUAUUUAUGUUUUCAUUUGCUGCUGCCUCAUAUGUAAACUUACAAAUAAAGUGCCUGGAAUGAAGUUGCAUUAAAAGACUGUGCAUGUUUUUGCCCUACAGGACCGUGCUACGUGCUGACAAGGAUCACAACAGGUUAUGAUUAAUGUAGGGACUUCUAGAGCAGAAGCUUAUAAACCCAACGUGCCUGAUGAUUUUUGUGAUCUCAUUCUGCUGGAAUGCUCGGUGCUGUUGUUACAGCGAAUGGCCGGACAGGCACAGAUAUCAUCCCAGGUCUGUCUGAGCAUCAGAAGAAACCCAGUCCGUAACACCUAAAGUGUCCAACGGAGCUUUGGC